rnacentral:rRNA from 1 species
UACAGAGGGGGCAAGCGUUGUUCGGAAUUACUGGGCGUAAAGGGCGCGUAGGCGGCCUGUUAAGUCGAACGUGAAAUCCCCGGGCUCAACCCGGGAACUGCGUCCGAUACUGGCAGGCUUGAAUUCGGGAGAGGGAUGCGGAAUUCCAGGUGUAGCGGUGGAAAUGCGUAGAUAUCUGGAGGAACACCGGUGGCGAAGGCGGCGAUCCUGGACCGAGAUUGACGCUGAUGCGCGAAAGCCAGGGGAGCGAACGGG